GGCUAACUAAAUGAUUUAAAUUAAACAACACAAUCUUAUAUUAUAAAACAUAAAAAAAAAAAAAAAUUACUCUCCAGCUCUAAACAACACAAUUAGGGCUUUUUCAGCAGUAUCACCGCCGAUGCUACAACACCUCCACCGUCCCGCUUCAACUUGCCCGCGAUUGCUGCGACUGCACCGCGACCUUUACCACCGUGCCGAGAGUGCUGCCGCCGACGCACAAUUGCUUCCACCGACGCACAAUCGCUUCCACCGACGCACAUCCACUUCCACCGUCGCACAUCCGCUUCCAUGGUCGCACAACCGCUUCCGACGCGCCACUAACGCUACCAUUACGAAUUCGAGGCAUAAAUUGGAAUUAGUUAUGUUUCGAUAUCAGCGUUAAAACAGUUUUCCAGAAUCAACUCAAGGAUAUCAAGAAUCAACUCAAGUCAUCUGUCGAGGUCUUGAAAAAUGUUUCAUACAGGUGAGCUAGCAUUGAGCUAGCAUUGAUGUAGAACAUUGUCAAGGAUAAGGCUAUUAAUUGCUAUCAAAAAUAAGGCAGUUAACCCAUUUCGAGUUAUGAAUCGUGGAAAGCGCCAACGCAAAUCUAUCUCACAGGGAGAUGGAGAAUAAGUUCCGUGCGAAGCUUUCGGAUAUCGUGCUCGCAAGAAAGACCAUCAUCAUCUCAUUUUCAUAUUCCACUUAAUGGCGAUGCUGAAUUUAUGGAGUCUGAUAGUGACGCAAAUGAGGCUUCAUCGACGCCACCUAAUAAAAUAUUAUUUAUUUUAGUUAUAAUGUUAUAUUUUUCACAAAAAUAUAACAUUAUAACGGUAUGGGAGGACUUGCCAUGGUUCAGUUGUUGGAAUGGUUUGAUAUAUCUUACGUCAUUUCAAUAUCUUUUCAUAAAUAUAUAAUGAGUUAAUUUUGUUCAGCCUUCUACCUAAUUUCAAAUUUUUAUGGCAGUGAAAACUAUACGAUGAACUUUACAGAUUAGAGGAUUAAGAUCAAAGAUUGGCAGCAAUAAAUGGCCUGCUCUAUUGUAUCGAAAUGUUCUACCUGGUAAAGUUAUUGGAUUGCUAGUGACAAUAUGCUUAUAUCCAGGUAUUCGUUCUUGCUUAAUUUAUUCACGGUAAAAAUAACAUAUAGUAUUUCGUUGGUGUUUUUAUCCAGAGUACAAGCUGUAGCUUUUACAAUAUAAUGCAAGCGCAAGUUCUUACAUUGCAGCUCACUGUUGUCUCUUAUUUUGUAGGUUGUAGUUUAGCAUCGUAAUUGUGGGUUGCAACAUUCUUCGCCGAAUAUCAGAAAAAUUCUCAAAAAAACUUUCUUGAUAUCUCAUUGUCAUCUGUGCCGAACCACCUCUGGGGUUUCAGAUUUUGAUGGUCUUCUGUACAAAAAUUACUUUACUGGGAUUCAUAUUUGAGCAACACUAUAUGGGAUAUAAUUUGAGAUUGCCUGAAAGAUUUCCUUUUUUAGAUUCUAUUAUUUUACGAUCUUCCAGUAAUAUCUGAAGUUGUAUACAACAAAUUUUAUAAGCUUUAAAAACAUGAAUUUUGCUUACUCAGGAACACUAACUUUUUUUUCUUCUUUGAUUGUUCAGGAACACAUUUUACAUUGGAGCAUGGGAGCAAGGACAUUUUGUUGAACUAAGAAUAUGUAGACUUUGAAAGUAAAUGUAUUGUGUAGGUUACUUCAAGUGUUGUUUUGAAGAUAGAUUUUUGGAACUUUGGUAUUGUAUAUUUUUGGAAAGCAAGAAUUCAUGUUUUGGGGAAUCCGAGUGAUUUUUAGCA